rnacentral:rRNA from 1 species
UGGGGGAUAUUGCACAAUGGGCGAAAGCCUGAUGCAGCGACGCCGCGUGGGGGAUGAAGGCUUUCGGGUUGUAAACCUCUUUCGCUAUCGAACAAGGCCCGCUUAGGGUGGGUUGAGGGUAGGUGGAGAAGAAGCGCCGGCUAACUACGUGCCAGCAGCCGCGGUAAUACGUAGGGCGCGAGCGUUGUCCGGAAUUAUUGGGCGUAAAGGGCUUGUAGGCGGCUUGUGGCGCCUGCUGUGAAAACGCGGGGCUUAACUUCGGGCGUGCAGUGGGUACGGGCAGGCUUGAGUGUGGUAGGGGUGACUGGAAUUCCAGGUGUAGCGGUGGAAUGCGCAGAUAUCUGGAGGAACACCGAUGGCGAAGGCAGGUCACUGGGCCAUUACUGACGCUGAGGAGCGAAAGCAUGGGUAGCGAACAGG